CUCUAUAAUGAUGUGUAUAAAGAGGUGGAGUCUAUAUAAUGAUGUCUAUAAAGAGGUGGAGUCUAUAUAAUGAUGUCUAUAAAGAGGUGGAGUCUAUAUAAUGAUUUCUAUAAAGAGGUGGAGUCUAUAUAGGGAUGUGUAUAAAGAGGUGGAGUCUAUAUAGUGAUGUCUAUAAAGAGGUGGAGUCUAUAUAAUGAUUUCUAUAAAGAGGUGGAGUCUAUAUAGGGAUGUGUAUAAAGAGGUGGAGUCUAUAUAAUGAUGUCUAUAAAGAGGUGGAGUCUAUAUAAUGAUGUGUAUAAAGAGGUGGAGUCUAUAUAGUGAUGUCUAUAAAGAGGUGGAGUCUAUAUAAUGAUGUCUAUAAAGAGGUGGAGUCUAUAUAAUGAUGUCUAUAAAGAGGUGGAGUCUCUAUAAUGAUGUGUAUAAAGAGGUGGAGUCUAUAUAAUGAUGUCUAUAAAGAGGUGGAGUCUAUAUAAUGAUGUCUAUAAAGAGGUGGAGUCUCUAUAAUGAUGUGUAUAAAGAGGUGGAGUCUAUAUAAUGGUUAUAAAGAGGUGGAGUCUAUAUAAUGAUGUCUAUAAAGAGGUGGAGUCUAUAUAAUGAUGUCUAUAAAGAGGUGGAGUCUCUAUAAUGAUGUGUAUAAAGAGGUGGAGUCUAUAUAAUGAUGUCUAUAAAGAAGUGGAGUCUAUAUAAUGAUGUCUAUAAAGAGGUGGAGUCUAUAUAAUGAUGUCUAUAAAGAGGUGGAGUCUAUAUAAUGAUGUCUACAAAGAGGUGGAGUCUAUAUAGUGAUGUUUAUAAAGAGGUGGAGUCUAUAUAAUGAUGUCUAUAAAGAGGUGGAGUCUAUAUAAUGAUGUCUAUAAAGAGGUGGAGUCUAUAUAAUGAUGUCUAUAAAGAGGUGGAGUCUAUAUAAUGAUGUCUAUAAAGAGGUGGAGUCUAUAUAAUGAUUUCUAUAAAGAGGUGGAGUCUAUAUAAUGAUGUGUAUAAAGAGGUGGAGUCUCUAUAAUGAUGUGUAUAAAGAGGUGGAGUCUAUAUAAUGAUGUCUAUAAAGAGGUGGAGUCUCUAUAAUGAUGUGUAUAAAGAGGUGGAGUCUAUAUAAUGGUUAUAAAGAGGUGGAGUCUAUAUAAUGAUGUCUAUAAAGAGGUGGAGUCUAUAUAAUGAUGUCUAUAAAGAGGUGGAGUCUAUAUAAUGAUGUCUAUAAAGAGGUGGAGUCUAUAUAAUGAUGUCUAUAAAGAGGUGGAGUCUAUAUAAUGAUGUCUAUAAAGAGGUGGAGUCUAUAUAAUGAUGUCUAUAAAGAGGUGGAGUCUAUAUAAUGAUGUCUAUAAAGAGGUGGAGUCUAUAUAAUGAUGUCUAUAAAGAGGUGGAGUCUCUAUAAUGAUGUGUA